rnacentral:rRNA from 1 species
CAGUCGCCGCGGGAAUACGGAGGAUCCAAGCGUUAUCCGGAAUCAUUGGGUUUAAAGGGUCCGUAGGCGGUCUUGUAAGUCAGUGGUGAAAGCCCAUCGCUCAACGGUGGAACGGCCAUUGAUACUGCAGGACUUGAAUUAUUGGGAAGUAACUAGAAUAUGUAGUGUAGCGGUGAAAUGCUUAGAGAUUACAUGGAAUACCAAUUGCGAAGGCAGGUUACUACCAAUUGAUUGACGCUGAUGGACGAAAGCGUGGGUAGCGAACAGGAUUAGAGACCCCGGUAGUCCCUGUCUCUUAUAC